rnacentral:rRNA from 1 species
UACGUAGGGUGCAAGCGUUGUCCGGAAUUAUUGGGCGUAAAGAGCUCGUAGGCGGCUCGUCGCGUCGGCUGUGAAAACCCGGGGCUCAACCCCGGGCCUGCAGUCGAUACGGGCAGACUAGAGUGCGGUAGGGGAGACUGGAAUUCCUGGUGUAGCGGUGGAAUGCGCAGAUAUCAGGAGGAACACCGGUGGCGAAGGCGGGUCUCUGGGCCGUAACUGACGCUGAGGAGCGAAAGCGUGGGGAGCGAACAGG